AUUGAACGCUGGCGGCAGGCUUAACACAUGCAAGUCGAGCGGGGUGAUGGUGCUUGCACUAUCACUUAGCGGCGGACGGGUGAGUAAUGCUUAGGCAUCUGCCUAUUAGUGGGGGACAACAUCUCGAAUGGGAUGCUAAUACCGCAUACGUUCUACGGGAGAAAGCAGGGGAUCACUUGUGACCUUGCGCUAAUAGAUGAACCUAAGGCGGAUUGGCUAGUUGGUGGGGUAAAGGCCUACCAAGGCGACGAUCUGUAGCGGGUCUGAGAGGCUGAGCCGCCACACUGGGACUGGGACACGGCUGAGACUCCUACGGGAGGCAGCAGUGGGGAAUAUUGGGCAAUGGGGGGAACCCUGAUCCAGCCAUGCCGCGUGUGUGAAGAAGGCCUUAUGGUUGUAAAGCACUUUAAGCGAGGAGGAGGCUCUUUUGGUUAAUACCCAAGAUGAGUGGACGUUACUCGCAGAAUAAGCACCGGCUAACUCUGUGCCAGCAGCCGCCGUAA
rnacentral:rRNA from 1 species